rnacentral:miRNA from 8 species
CAUCUUACCCGGCGGCAUUAGA